ACAACUGGCAUGCCUAGUACGGCGAGUGAGCGGCAACAGCUCAAAUUUGAAAUCUGGCUCUUUUAGAGUCCGAGUUGUAAUUUGCAGAGGGCGCUUUGGCUUUGGCCCCGGUCCAAGUUCCUUGGAACAGGACGUCACAGAGGGUGAGAAUCCCGUCCGGGGUCGCUGGCUAUUGCCCUGUAAAGCCCCUUCCACCAAUCCAGUUGUUUGGGAAUGCCACUCUAAAUGGGAGGUACAUUUCUUCUAAAGCUAAAUAUUGGCCAGAAACCGAUAGCGCACAAGUAAAGUGGUCCAAAGAAGAAAAGCACUUUGGAAAGAAAGUCAAACAGCACGUGAAAUUGUUGAAAGGGAAACGCUUGGCACCAGACUUGCUUACCGUUGCUCAUCCGGGUUUCUACCCGGUGCACUCUUCUGGAGGCAGGCCAGCAUCAGUUUGGGCGGUAGGAUAAAGGUCUCUGUCACGUACCUCCUUUCGGGGAGGCCUUAUACGGGAGACGACAUACUACCAGCCUGGACUGAGGACCGCGCAUCUGCUAGGAUGCUGGCGUAAUGGCUGUAAGCGGCCCGUCUUGAACCCCGGACC
rnacentral:rRNA from 1 species